AAAAAACUAAAAGUAUACCUCAAUAAAUAUGAAAAUCUUUCGGUUGAAGUUUUGAUGAAAUUUCCAAGCCUUGACCGAUAGCUGCCUUUUCCCUUUUUUUGUGUUUGGAUUUUGUGGAAGAAAAUGUGUAGAGGGAGCCCCUUUUUUUGUUCCUCUUGUCUUUUUUCUUCUGCCCAAGUCCGAGAGAGGGAGAGGGUGAGGUGAGGAGCUUUUCUUUUUUUUUCUUUUUUUUUCGGUUGAGACCAAAGAAAGAGCCAACAGCCCCCCUUUUUUUUGUGUGUUUUUCUGUUCUUGUUCUGCGAGGGAGAGAGCCGAGAGUUGUCUGGGAGCUAGAGUGCUUUUUUUUCUUCUUGUUGUGGCUUGUCCCCUGGCAGCCAAAGAGAGCCGAGAGAUACUUGUAGCCAAAAAUGGAGCUUGUGUGCUCAGUCUUCCAAAAUGAUGAUUUCUCAACUAAUGAAAAGACCAGUCCAUGGCCAUUGAGUGUGAAAUGGGUUAAUAGUUAAUUUGGUGAAACAAAAUGAUUAGAAUGAUUUUUUUCUAUUUUCUUAAUUUUCCUUCUUUUGUUUUGUUUUGUUUGUUUGUUGUUUUUUUUUUAAAUUUUUCUUCUUUUUCUAAAACAAACCUGCAAAAAUGAGAAAAAUGCAAAUUAAAAUGCAAGAAAAUAAAUAACUCAUUAAAUAGAAAAAUUCUGAGAAAAUAUUAAAAAUUGACAAAAAUUUGGUGUCUACAGCUUGCCCCUCUUUGUCUAGAGUUUCAAAGAAACUCAAGACAAAGACGUAGACACCAAAUUGCUUACCUGUCUCUUGUAGCUGCACCUGAACUAAAAUAAACAAGCCAACACUUGGCUGAAAUUAUUGGACAAAAUGAUGCAAUAACAUUGCAGAAAAUGUGAUCGAACCCAUGUAGAGUUGCCUACGUAUCCCACCAUGGGAAUCAGGUCAAACGUAGUUCGAAUGCAAGUGAACCACAAUGAAACAAGUGCAUUGACCAACUGUGAUCUUUGCAAAGUCGCAAAAGUCUGAACUCUUGAACUUCUAAACAUGAAACACAAAAUGAAUGAGAUAGCACAAUUAUUAAUCAAAACAGUCAAGAAAAGUAACUUGUCAUAAUUAGAAAAAGAUGCGCGGAGGGACGCGGUUACGCUCCAACAGAAAAUUAAAUUUGUCUUUUAGAAAAAGAUGCGCGGAGGGACGCGAUUACGCUCCAACAGAAAAUUAAAUUGUCAAGAAGGAAGAUAGAAGGGUGCGCGGUGGAGGCUGAGACUCACCAACAGGAAAUUAAAUUGAUCAAGAAUGGGAGGUAAAAGGGUGCGCGGUGGGCGCUGAGACUCACCAAUAAGAAAUUAAAUUGAUGCGCGGAGGGACGCGAUUACGCUCCAACAGGAAAUUAAAUUGUCAAGAAUGGGAGAUAGAAGGGUGCGCGGUGGACGCUGAGACUCACCAACAAGAAAUUAAAUUGUCAAGAAGGGGAGGUAGAAGGGUGCGCGGUGGACGCUGAGACUCACCAACAGAAAUUAAAUUGAUACGCGGAGGGACGCGAUUACUCUCCAACAGGAAAUUAAAUUGUCAAGAAUGGGAGAUAGAAGGGUGCGCGGUGGACGCUGAGACUCACCAACAGGAAAUUAAAUUGAUGCGUGGAGGGACGCGAUUACGCUCCAACAGGAAAUUAAAUUGUGAAGAAUGGAAGAUAGAAGGGUGCGCGGUGGACGCUGAGACUCACCAACAGGAAAUUAAAUUGUCAAGAAGGGGAGAUAGAAGGGUGCGCGGUGGACGCUGAGACUCACCAACAGAAAUUUAAAUUUGUCUUUUUUUAGAAAAAGAUGCGUGGAGGGACGCGAUUACGCUCCAUCAGAAAAUUAAAUUGUCAAGAAUAGGAGAUAGAAGGGUGCGCGGUGGACGCUGAGACUCACCAACAGGAAAUUAAAUUGAUCUUCUGAUCUGUCAAGAAGGGGAGAUAGAAGGGUGCGCGGUGGACGCUGAGACUCACCAACAAGAAAUUUAAUUGUUAAGAAGGGAGGUAGAAGGGUGCGCGGUGGACGCUGAGACUCACCAACAAGAAAUUUAAAUUGAUGCGCGGGGACGCGAUUACGCUCCAACAGGAAAUUAAAUUGUCAAGAAUGGGAGAUAGAAGGGUGCGCGGUGGACGCUGAGACUCACCAACAGGAAAUUAAAUUGUCAAGAAGGGGGGUAGAAGGGUGCGCGGUGGACGCUGAGACUCACCAACAGGAAAUUAAAUUGAUGCGCGGAGGGACGCGAUUACGCUCCAACAGGAAUUUAAAUUUGUCAAGAAUGGGAGGUAGAAGGGUACGCGGUGGACGCUGAGACUCACCAACAGGAAAUUAAAUUGAUGCGCGGAGGGACGCGAUUACGCUCCAACAGAAAAUUAAAUUGAUGCGCGGAGGGACGCGAUUACGCUCAACAGGAAUUUAAAUUUGUCAAGAAUGGGAGGUAGAAGGGUGCACGGUGGACGCUGAGACUCACCAACAGGAAAUUAAAUUGAUUUUUUUAAUUGAAUUUUUUUUUUUAAAAUAACAGAUUGGUGGGAUAGACCCGGAUCCAAUGAAAUACUGAAAGAAAUGAAAACGCAAGUCCAAUACUAUCAAACUGAAAGAUUAAAAUGCAUGUUGCUCAAGUCGGUGGAUUUGCAAUCUUUUUUCUUCUUCUUUUUUUUUUUCAAACUUUAGAAGGAAUGAAAGAAAAACACUUUUUUCUUUUUUUCUUGAAAAAAAAUCAAAAGUGACGAAUUUUAAAACUUGACGAAUACCAAUAACAACUCUCCCUUCAAGAGAUUUGAGAGGUACAUACAUAUGUCACUAUCUUCUCGACUUUAAAAAACUCUUUUUUUUUUUUUUCCACAAAGCGGAUUUAGAAUGUAUUACCAAAAUUGGAGCUCACUCCUUUUGAUAUUUGCCCCAGUGUAAAUCAUGUUUAACGAAGGCCACAUUUUUCAUGCUUUUGAAAAGCAAAAAGAGUGAUCAUAUGAUACCAAUACCAUGUGAUUCCUUGUGCUCCUUUUGGCCCUGAGAACCAUGUAAGCAUGAUCUUUCGAUGUCAAAAUUGCUCCUCAAGAGUUAUGCUGCAACUUGUUUUGAAUCUUCUCAAUUUUCCAGCAUCAGUCAGCCAUACCUCACUUUGUACCACAAAUCAACUUUUCAAAUGACCAGAUCUGAAUGAAUGGCCAGUAUCUCAAGUGUCAGCAAUCCGCUUUUCGUUCAUGAUUCUCUUGUGCUCCAAAAUCUCACCUUGAUGACCUUAACCUUUCGGAUUUUCACAAAGGUCACGCCUUUUUAUUUUAUUUGUUUUCAUUUUCUUCUCUUUUUUCUUUUCAUCCUUCUCUUUUUUUCUUUUUUUUUCAAUCCCUUUUUUCUUUUUCUUUUUCUUUUUCAUUGUUUUGAAGACACCCUUUCAGGUUUUCACCUAAUGAACAAAUCUUGCUAACGACCUUUAUCAACUCAGAAAUGUAUUUAAAGAAAGGAUGGCAUCAGCGCGACAACCCUUCCCAUGUAAAAAUAGUGAAGGUGUAUUGACAUCAAUUGCCAUUUGAUUAAGUGAUUUUUAUUAGAAAUACCACUAAAGCGGAGGUCGAGACUUUAUGAUUUUUAUGAUGGGGUCAGGUGGGGUGUGGAAGAAAUGUUAAGGCUUGAAAGCAAAAUCUUCAAAGAGGUUUCAAACCCCUAAGAUCACGUUCUAUCAAUAUUUGCUCCAGUAUGAGGGUAUUAAAACUGAAAAAUUGCCCCAGUUUAGCUUUUGAAUCUUUUUUUUCUUUUUUUUUUUUUUUUUCUGACAAAUGGGAGAUAAAAAUUUACCCCAGGAUGGGGUUUGCAAUCUUUAGGAGGGCUAUCAAAUGAAGGGUUAAAUUAUUCUAGAGGUUCAAUGGGGAAAACUAGGAGUGAGAUGUUCAAAGAGAAAAGAAGAAAGCUCGCCUUUGAUCCGCCAUAGAUGGUAUUUCAAAAGAAAAAUCACAUAAUCAGAUAAAGAAUUUAUUACACAUGUCUGGAUUGAUUGGCAGAGGAAAGACCUGUCCAUCCAGUUCUGUGAGAAUGGGCGUUCCUCCGAAUAGCACUCUUUGAACAAUAAAUGGCCCUUGCUAAGUUGGAGCAAACUUUUCUUUAACCUCCUCUUGAAUCGGAAGAAUUUACUUCAAAACCUUAUCCCUCAUUUCAAAUAAGCGAGAUUUGUCUUUCUUGUCAUAACUAACGAACCAUCCUUUGAUGAUAACAUUGUCCAUGACAAACAUUCAACCUCUUUUUCAUCAAUUAGAUACAGCAACUCAUUGUGCUCCUUAAUCCAUUUGAUUUCUUCUGCCUGAGCCUUUGUCAAAAUGUGCAAGGACGAGAUCUCGAUUUUGGCAUGUAUUACCACUUCCAUUUCGAAGCAUAAGAGGGCAAGGUGUUGCCCCAACUUAGAAAUGUAAUUUCCAAUGAAAUGCUCCCAGAGUUCAAUUGCAAAAUUUGCAAAAUCGAAGGAAAAGCUUUCUUUUUCUUUUUUCUUUUUUUUCAAUCUCUUUUUUUCGUUUUUUCUUUUUUUUCAUUUUUUUUUCCAUUUUUAUUAUUCUCUUCUUUUUCAUUCCCCUUUCUUUUCUUUCUCUUUUCUUUUUCUUCUUUUUCUUCUUUUCUUUUUAUUCUUUUUUCUCUUUUUUUUUUUUUUUUUUUCAAGUUGACUGUUGAAGUAUGUACUCCUUUUGAGCAAAUAGCCGAUCCUCCACUUUGCAAUGUAGCAUUAUUGCUCCAUUUUUAUUCGUGAUUAAUCUCCAAAUUUGCAAGUUGAAUUGCACUUUUUCCUCGAUCUCAACCAUAAACACCUGCAUAAGGGAAUUUUUCAAAGCACUUGAAUUUUUCAAUUUUCAAUUUUUUUUGUUUUUGUUUUGUUUUUUUUUUGAGUAAUGAUAUAACAAUUAACAUUCAUGCAAAGUGUUGACUUAUCAAGAUUUGAGAAAUAUACUUGACCUUGGAUAUACCCUACAAAUGUAUUAAAAAUUUUACCUCAAUUUGAACCUAUUUGACAAAAUCUCACAGAUAUAUUACAAAAAUUUUUGCCCCAAUUUGGGUCUAUUCUAAAAUUUUAUUCGAGUGAUUCUCCAUUUAUUCGGACAAAACAAGAAAACUGUGUCUUCCAAAAUUUAAAAAAACUAACAUGCAAUGUGAGUUGAUGUACAAUAGAAAAAAUGCAUUUUUCCACAAAAAACUUUAAAUGCCAUUUAGAAAGCUCCAUGAUAAAUCUCUCAAAACAAAACCAAAUUACAAAAGAUCUCUUCCUCUUUUUGGGAUCGAUAUCGAGGGAAAAGGGUCCUCUUCUCGUUGGCUCAUCUUUUAGGACCAAUCAAAUGGGUAUUACUCAUGAUUUUGAGGUGACUCAGGGAGAUGGUAUGUCAGGAUCUGUCUUUUUUUUUUUUUUUUUUUUUUGUAUCCAACACAUUCAGUAUCACAUCUUGGUGAAAGCAAAUAGCUUAUCACCCUUAUUUCUUAAGAAAAUUCAGUUAACAUAUAAGCUCUAUGGGCUUGUAAUGUAUGGGUAGAAACGAUAGUUAAGCAUAUGGAAACAAGUUAUGGCCUAAUGAUCAUGAGUAAUUGGUAAAUUCCUUAAAGGCGAAAUCUUCACUUCAAAUUGUCAUGAAAGAUAAGUCAGCAAUGGACUUUAUGAGCUUGUAAUGUGGCUUAACAAUGAUAGCUAAAAAAAAUAGAAUUUUCAAGGACAACGCACUUAAGAUCGCCUUCUUUCACAAAAAUUGCCCCAGUUUUGGAUUUAAAAUCCGGGACCCCUUUUGACUCCCUUUUUCUUAUCAAUCCUCUUUUUUCUUCAACAAUCACUAAAGGGAAUGCAACAUUGGAUGUCUUCGCAUUUUCUUUCUUUUCUUUUUUUUUUUCAUCAUUUUUUCAUUUUUUCAUUUUUUCUUUUCUCUCUUUGCCCUUUUUUUUUUUUUUUUUUUUUUACCAAUACUGAUAUCCCAAUGUCAAUGAUAAAAUUGAAAACUCCCUAAUUUGGAGUGUAGAUGGCCCCUGUUUCUUUUUGAUAUUGAAGACCAAAAUAUCAAUGGUAGAGUCAAAUUCCCCCAACUUGUAAUUUUUCUCUUGCAAAAAUUUUGAGCAUCUUUGCCAUUUUUUCAAUUCUCAAAUCUCCUUCCCCAGUGUGGGGGUGCGAUCAUAAGUGCUUUUGAAACGAACCACCAAUUUAGGCUCAAACGAGGAUGCAAAGAAUGGAUAGUGUUUGGAUAGUAGAAACAACGGCCAAAGCAUCAUUCUUAUUUUUCAUGACAACCAAAGUAAAGAAUAGCCCGUUGAGAAAAUCCAUUUCCUUUUGACGUGUAAAGUUAUGAUCACUAAGGCUCUUAUUUGAAAUGAAAUUGUACUUUUAAAAGGUUCAAAUGGGAGAACAAUUGAUAAAAUCUGUAGAGAUAUAGAAACGAAAAGCCUAAAGUAUCAUUCCAAAUUUUCAAAACAAAUAAGAAAUAAUGGACAUUUUUGCUUUCACUCAGAUGUGAAUUGAAUCUGGUUAGACACAGUGAACAUUUCACGGUAAAAAUUAUCUCACUUUGAAACUAGUCAACCAAGGUGACUGACUUUGGAGGUUCAAUAGAAGUGGACAAAAAAAAUGAAAAAAAAAGUGUCGGGGUUGAUAUUCUAUGACAAACUAUCAAAUUUGAAUGACCCCUCUUUAUUUUCGACUGCUCUCAUUGAAUAGUUUAGACCACAAAUCUAGUGUAUGCAAAGAAUUUUGAGAAUUGGACAUACACUCAUGAAUUUCGAACAAGAGGUCAAAAAAUUUCAAUUUAACCUUAUUUCUUAGGAUUCAUCAUGAAAUCUCCCAAUGAGCAAAUAAAGAAUGAGUAUAUACAAAACAAUAGUUGUCUAAAUAAAACUUUAUUAUUCAAAUGUUUGAAAAUUUCUCAAAUGUGAUACAUGUGAGAAAAAUAAAAAUCUCUAAAGAAUACACUUUCAAAUAUAUACACACUUUCUCUUUCUAUCUUUUGAGACAAAAUGGAUUAGGAACAAUGAAUCAAGAGAUUUUUGAGAUGCUUUACACUAGCAUUUUCAAAUGGAUUUUUCAUUCUUUUUUUUUUUAUUUUUUUUUUCACAUUGUAGGAUCUGCCCAAGAAUCAAGUAACAUUUGUAAUUUUUCAAAAUUUAUUAGACCAAAAAUAUUAUCAGAUAUAGGAAAAAUAUUUUUUUACCUUGUUAAAACAACUUUUAUAAAUGCAGGGGAGGGGGAAAAAAUAAAAGCAAAAUACCCAGAGUUAGUAAGCAAAACUGCAAAAUCGGUAUGCAUGUCCUAUGGGGGAACCCUUUUAUGCCAAGGGUUGGCCUAGUAUGAAAAAUGCAAUCCUCUGGGGUAGGCACCAUACAAUACCUGAUGGAUCCGAUCGACUUAUUGAGAUUCAAUGAAAAGACAAUUUUGAAAAAACUGGAUAAUUGGAGUGACAAGAGACAAUUUGUCCUAACAAAAUGAGGACAAAGUCCGAAUGGAUUGAUUGCUUUGAUUGACACAUAAAAUGAUAUCAAAAUCAAUUUAGUGUGUAAAACUUACUUUUGAAAGGAUUGAAAUGUCUCGACUAGUUUCUUCGGUGAACCAUAGAUCGAAACUUUAAAAGAGAAUAAAUAGGUUAAAUGAAUCGAAUGAAAUUGAUGGUUAGUUCAAAAAUUGACUGGAUUAUCCUGAAAGUGAAUAAAAUCGAUCCAAUGGAUUGGAAGAAAUUGAGAAUUUAUUCAAAAAAAUAAAUUUGAUUAAAUGAAUAAUGAAUUGAAUGGAAUUGAUGAUUAAUUCAAAAUUGAUUGUAUUGUCCUAAAAAUGAAUAAAUUCGUCAAAUGGAUUGGAUAGAAUUGACAGUUUAUUCAAAAAUCGACUGGAUCACUGACCAAAUGAACAGAAUGAAAUUGAUGAUUUAUCCAAAAUGAAAUUGAAUGAAAAUGAAAUUAAAAAUGAGCAAAAUUGUAAGGAUCGAAUGAUCUAUAAAAAAAUCGAUUCAAUCAUCUUAGAUGUAAAAAUGGAAUGAAUGAAAUUGAUGAUUUAUCAAAAUCGAUGGAAUUGUCUGCCCAUUGGUAGUUUCAAAAAAUUCAUUGUGAUUCAUUAGUCUAUGAGCCUUCGGAAAUCAAGAUUUGACCUUAACAUACUUAUCAUCUCAACAAUGAGGAAUUUGUGAAUUUCUUCAACUUAAUGUCCUUUACGCAAGGAAUUUUUACCAAUUCUGAUAAAAUGGCCAAAAAAGUGAUUAUUAAAGGCUCAUAUUCUAAUGCGUAAAAACUGUUCCAUCAUUCUCAAUGCCGUCGCACAAAAGGGAUCGAAUCCUACCUUACCUUGUGCACUACCCCUUUGGAUGGUACAGAAAAUAUAAACGUGCAAAUCUCAUUGGAUUACAUAUCCGAGACAAAAGGUGACUUAUUCCUACCGUGGGAUUCCCUAUGCGGCAUUCCCUCUAUGGUUAAUGCAUGAUGACAAUUUAUUAAAGCAUAUUAAAUAUAGAAUGAAAUAAUUGAAAUGUGACCUAAAAGUGCCCCCUUUAAAUGCCGGGGUAAGCCUAAAAUGAUGUGCAGUACAUAUGCAUAUGCAAUUGACUAAAAUUUAAACAUGCUUGAUAUAAGAGGUGGUCUUAUCUUAAACGAGUACCAUGUUAGGACUCUUAUUUCUAAAGUUUGUGUAUGCAGAAAAAGGGAAAACAAGGAGAGGUUAGUUCAACAAGUAACAUAUAACACGUUGUGACAAUAAAUGAUACAAGAAUGAAAGGUAAAUAAAGCAAAGAAAGAGGGGUGAAAUCCCUCCCCUCGUGCUUAGUGCUCCUAAUUGGAUAGGUUGACUCUAUCCUAGGUAAUUUCUAAUAUGGAUGCAUGAGUUUUGGCUUACUAAUGCAUCUAGACUCGAUAAGGUUUUAGGCUCCCAAGCCUUCAGACCAAAAAGUUAAGGGUCAUCAAUCCCAAAACCUUCGGUCGGUGGCUUGAGUGAUCCCUUAGGCAUCGCUAUGGGCGCAGAGCACACCAUCCGCCUACCUAAGAAAAUCGAUCCUAAUCCUACAAGGAGAUGUGGGAUGGCGCCCACGAGAAAAAAAUAAAAAUAGGGUAAAAAUAAUGCAUGCACGUAUGAAGUGCUUCCUUUUGAGGGGAGAGAUUAUAAUUAAAACACGUGUGGAGGCUCUACGGUGAUAUCUUCCCCCACCCAAAUGCAAAGCGCGAUACGAAUAAAUAAAUAAACAAGCCAUUCAUCACAUACACGUAAGACGAGGAACGAUUACGAGUGUGAAAUGCAAAACAUCCUAAAAAAGAAAAAUGCAACCUAAAACAUCCAAAUAUGAUAAAUAUAAGGGUUAAAAAGAGAAAAGACGACUAAGCCAAGUGCUUGGACUCUCUAACCUCCCCAGUGGAGUCGCCAAGUUGUCGCGCCCCAUUUUUCGCGAUGGAAAAUAAAAGGUGUUUAUAAAAAGAUGUGAUUUAUUAAUAAUAAAUGAAAAAGGACCUAGAAUGGGACUUUAAAAAAUGCGACAAUUUGGGUCCAAAAUUUAGUCUAAAAGGGUUUUGAAGAAAAAUUAGGAGUCGCCACUUGGUAUGGAGUUUUGGUGUACCAAGUCACCAAAAAAAAUAUUUUUUUGACAAAAAUAAAAUAAAUCAAAACCCUUUUUGACAACUCCAGGUCUUUGAAAGCAAGAGAAAAUAGGUUCGGGAGUCACGGUUGAAGAAAGGGAAGGCAAAGGUUUAAUUGACUCAAACCUAAGGCACCCUUUCAACCUAGUCUAAGCUAGUUGCGAGGUUUAGUCAAAAUUUUCCUAAUCUAACCCUUAAUUUUAUCAUAUUUGGAUGUUUCCUAUAUGGAUGCAAAUCUAAAUAUAUCGAAAGGGACAAAAUGUUCAUUCAAGGGUUUAAUUGAACCAAUCGCAUUAAUUGCGAAGCCCAAAAUGAUUCCUUGAAAGUGUCACGAAUAUGCAAAUGAUGAAAUUAAAAUAAAAGAAAAGAAAUUAAAUUAUAUACAUAUAUAUAAGUGAUCAAAGAAAAGGGAAUGCAACAUAAAGGGUGCGGGAGACAAAACUCGUGACAUAAUUUUCUAUACAGGAUUAAUGGGUAUUUAAACUAAAAGUUAUAAUCACCCAUUUCCAUAUUUGAAAAAUAAUUCUCCUAAUAUGCACAAACAAAUGAGCUAACUUACUAUACAAUGUUAAAUGAAAUGCAAUUCUAAAUGACAUGAUUAACACAUAUAGAGGAUAGGGGAUAAUAUAAUAGGAAAUAUCAUGCAAAUGGGAAAAGAUCCUAAAAAUGAAAAUAUGCGUGAAAAUGUAAUAAAUAUCACACAAAAAUGAAUCUAACGCACGAGAUCUAAGGGUCUAGCGUUGGACUAACCCAUUUCUAAAAUCCUUACUAGCGUUGGACUAGCAAGUAAACGGAGGGAGAAACCACAACUAGCGUUGGACUAGUGUGGUGACGUCAUGCAUUUUUAAUACAUAAUAAGACAAGUAGACAUAAAUUAAAACAAAUAAACACAUAAGAGCACGUAGCACGUAACACAUAAGCAUAAUAUCUAGAUGCAAAAAUCCUAAGGAAAGCAAGUAAGGCACGUAACACAUAAGCCACAUAAGCACACAACCUAUCUAUUACAUCGGGGAGCGCCUAACUACAAUCUAAAAGGGGAAAUAAAAUAAAACAAAUCUAAUUAUCCUAUCUAUUACAUUUUGAGGUAUUUAAAUGCCUCUCAAAUAAUUAUAAAAUUAACUAAACAAGUAUAAGAAAAUUUAAAUGAACAUUCAAAUCAAAUAAACAAAGCAUAUAAAAAUAUAUAAACAUAUAGGAAGCACGUAAGAGCACAUAAGAGCACGUAAUUGACAUUGAAAUAAUAAUAAUAGGGUACCUCCCUUUUGAAGUGGUGACUAAAUGGAGUCAAAUUGCCCUAUUUAUACUCAAAUGAACAAAAGAAUCACGGCACCAAUUUAAUUGAAAAAUAAUAAUACAAAAAUACUAAAUUCACACUAAUAUGUCAAACGUAAAGAAAUUUAAGAACAUCUAAAAAUUACAAGUUAAGUAUAUUCAAAAGUAGCAUAAUUAGCUAUUAAAGAAAAGAAACAAUCAUAAUAAAGAGAGUCAAAAUGCAUCAGGACUGAAUUGCAAAAAUUAAAAAACUUCUGGGGACAAAAUUAUAUUUUUCAAAGUUCAGGGGUCAAAAUUAAAUGAAAGAUAAAAUUUAGGGACCGAAGUGAAAUUAACUUAAGGACCUAGAUGAAACAAAAUUAAAAUGUUCUGGGCUGAAGUGAAACUACUCCAAAGAUCAAGGGCUAAAGUGCAAAUUUCGGUUUCUGAUUUGGGCAAGGAAAGGCCAUCGGGCCAUCAUUUUAUUUCUUUGGGCCGAACACUGCCUAAGCCCAGCUGAAAGUCCAAGCCAAACGAGCAGGCUAGCCCAUCUUUUUAUCACUCAAGCCCAACAAAAACAAUGCAUGAGCUCUGACCUUCUAGCCCAACAGAAACCCAAAAGAAAAAAUAAACUAAAGCCCAUCCCCAAAACCUAACAAAAUAACUCUUGGCCCAUCAGAAAAAAAACAUUAGCCCAAUUUCAUUUCUUUUUUUUCUUCUUUCUUUCUUUUCUUCCUUCCCCAAUCGUUUCUUCUCUUCUUCUUCCCAGGCGAGCUGAAGCUCCUCGCAGCUGGUGGCCAUGUCAGCCGCCGCCGCCGCGCCACCGCGGACUGCCGUCGGUCGCCGGCGAACUUUUUUCCGGUCACAAAAAAUUAUCAAAAUAUACACCCCAACUCGAUUUUUCGCGUAAUUCCAAUUUUGGGCUUAGUUUUAACAAAAAAGGAAUCGAAAGUGGCCAAAAUGACAAGAAAUCAGUCCAUUUUGAUUUUUCAAAAACAACAUACCCUUCACCAAAAAUCAUAAAAAUUAUGCCACAACACUCUUGCAUCUCCUACAAUACAAAUAUGAUUUUAUUUUGACAAAAACAACAUAAAAUGGACAAAAUAAAGCAAAACAGCCCCUAAAUUCUUUUUGCAUUUUUCAAACAAUUAACAUGCAUUACAAGAAAAACAUUUCUCUUUCCUUUAUUUGGUUCAUGCUAUUUCCCAAAUUUCAGCAAUACCACAACAACAAUGCAAAGUAGCAAGCAGAAACGAAAGAAAACUAAACAAUGAAGCAUUGAUUUAAUGUGACAAAAAAAAAACUAAAAGUAUACCUCAAUAAAUAUGAAAAUCUUUCGGUUGAAGUUUUGAUGAAAUUUCCAAGCCUUGACCGAUAGCUGCCUUUUCCCUUUUUUUGUGUUUGGAUUUUGUGGAAGAAAAUGUGUAGAGGGAGCCCCUUUUUUUGUUCAUCUUGUCUUUUUCUUCUGCCCAAGUCCGAGAGAGGGAGAGGGUGAGGUGAGGAGCUUUUCUUUUUUUUUUCUUUUUUUUUCGGUUGAGACCAAAGAAAGAGCC
rnacentral:lncRNA from 1 species